rnacentral:rRNA from 1 species
AUUGAACGCUGGCGGCAGGCUUAACACAUGCAAGUCGAGCGGAGAUGAGGUGCUUGCACCUUAUCUUAGCGGCGGACGGGUGAGAAAUGCUUAGGAGUCUGCCUAUUAGUGGGGGACAACAUUCCGAAAGGAAUGCUAAUACCGCAUACGCCCUACGGGGGAAAGCAGGGGAUCUUCGGACCUUGCGCUAAUAGAUGAGCCUAAGUCGGAUUAGCUAGUUGGUGGGGUAAAGGCCUACCAAGGCGACGAUCUGUAGCGGGUCUGAGAGGAUGAUCCGCCACACUGGGACUGAGACACGGCCCAGACUCCUACGGGAGGCAGCAGUGGGGAAUAUUGGACAAUGGGCGGAAGCCUGAUCCAGCCAUGCCGCGUGUGUGAAGAAGGCCUUUUGGUUGUAAAGCACUUUAAGCGAGGAGGAGGCUACUUAGAUUAAUACUCUAGGAUAGUGGACGUUACUCGCAGAAUAAGCACCGGCUAACUCUGUGCCAGCCGCCGCCGUAAUAC